UACGUAGGUGGCAAGCGUUGUCCGGAAUUAUUGGGUGUAAAGCGCGCGCAGGCGGCCUUUUAAGUCUGAUGUGAAAGCCCACGGCUCAACCGUGGAAGGUCAUUGGAAACUGAAAGGCUUGAGUACAGAAGAGGAAAGCGGAAUUCCACGUGUAGCGGUGAAAUGCGUAGAGAUGUGGAGGAACACCAGUGGCGAAGGCGGCUUUCUGGUCUGUAACUGACGCUGAGGCGCGAAAGCGUGGGGAGCAAACAGG
rnacentral:rRNA from 1 species